rnacentral:rRNA from 1 species
AAUCAACGCUGGCGGCGUGCCUAACACAUGCAAGUCGAACGCGAAAGGGGCUUCGGCCCUGAGUAGAGUGGCGAACGGGUGAGUAACACGUGGGUGAUCUACCUUCGAGUGGGGGAUAACGUUCCGAAAGGAACGCUAAUACCGACAUGACGUUCUGGGUUUGAAGACCUGGAAACCAAAGCCGGGGACCGCAAGGCCUGGCGCUAGACGAGGAGCCCGCGCCUGAUUAGCUAGUUGGCGGGGU